ensembl:lncRNA
CACCAGGAUCCGGCAGUAGUCCCGUUGCACGACGUUCCGAUGGUCCGGGGCAAAAGCGCAGGGGAAGAGCAGCAGCGGUGUGGCCGGUCUUAGGCAGCGAGAAGGUGCAGGCAGGUACCGAGUAGGUCCAGGAAGAAGUCUGGGCGGAAGCAGCAGGUCUCCGGUAGCAGGCCCUGGAGAGUCAGUCAGCAUGCAGGCCUUUUGUAGUGAGGGAUCUGAUGGCAGACACCUUCUCGGAGGGGUGAGCAGCAGCAGAGAGGCCAUCCUUAGGCAGCAAGCAGGUAGAGCACAGAGCGAGUCCGGGAGGGAGAGGCAGGUCGUGUGGAAUCUGUUAUCAGAAUCCUGACUUCAUGGUUGUUGGACCCUCUUUUAUCCUCCUCCUUCCCUGCCUACGUGACAUUUCUGGGCGCUUGGUCAUGUGAGCCCCCCCUGAGAUGGCUGUCUCCCUUGAGAUAAGUCCACACAAAAGACUGUUUCCUGGCCAUUUAGCUGCCACUUACCUCUCUCGUUGCCCCAGGCGUUGUCCAUCUGUUGUCCCUUCAGACGAAGGUUUUCUUAAUCCUUGGUCAGGACUUGCUUGAAUUUGUUCAUCUGUGUCCCUCAGCAAGCUUUGAGGCAACGGCGUAAAAGAAUGACCUCUUACAGUUCCUUUAUCCUGUUGAAAGACAUACUCUUCCUGAUCUUCUGGUGUCUUACUGUCUUGCAUGAAUUAUAAAAGAUUACUGUUUAGAAUCUGCAGUUGCCUCAGCCUGCUCCAAGUCAUGUAGAGUACAUUUCAACAGGAUAAGUCAACUUAAACUUAAAAAGAGAAAGAAGAACACCAAGCAUAAAAAUUCUGUUGCCCACAUUAUUUAUUGUUCAGCUCUCACACUCUGAAGUGAUUCAGACCUGCACUGAGUUUCUUGAAGCCUCUUCUAGAGUUAAUGAAUGCUUUCCAACUUCGUAUGCAAAGGUAAACGCAUCCAUGUCUGCAUCCUCAAGAAGUGUGCUCUGACUUUAGGAAACUCCACUACUCGGGUCUGUCAAACCUGCAGCCUGGCUGGCAAAGUGCAGCUGCCGAGAAAGAGGCAGUUAAUGCCAUUCUGAAUGACCGAGGGAGAGAUGUGGAGCUGUGGAGCAUCUUCUCAUCUAUCUUGCCAGGUCUGGACAGAGAAGUGACUGCUUUGGUCAGCAGUAGCUUUCAUCCUGUGCAGCACUGCUUACCUGCUUAUAUGACACACGAACACAGCCAGCUGAUGGUUGUAGCAAGUCUACCUCCUGCUGGGCAGAGUUCCCCUCUGUCUGAAGUACAAGAGCAGAGCGUAUUGCAACUGUGAAAAUGUCACCAAAUUACAGCAAG